UCGGGAAUAUUGCCCAAUGCGCGAAAGCGUGAGGCAGCAACGCCGCGUGCGCGAUGAAGGCCUUCGGGUCGUAAAGCGCUUUUCGGUGGGAGGAGGAAGGACCGUACCACCGGAAUAAGGUACGGCUAACUACGUGCCAGCAGCCGCGGUAAAACGUAGGUACCGAGCGUUAUCCGGAUUUACUGGGCGUAAAGCGCGUUCAGGCGGUCUGGCAAGUCGGGCAUGAAAUCUCUCGGCUCAACCGGGAGGGUUGUCCGAUACUGCUGGGCUUGAGGGCAGUAGAGGGUGGUGGAAUUCCGGGUGUAGUGGUGAAAUGCGUAGAGAUCCGGAGGAACACCAGUGGCGAAGGCGGCCACCUGGACUGUACCUGACGCUCAAACGCGAAAGCUAGGGGAGCGAACG
rnacentral:rRNA from 1 species